rnacentral:rRNA from 1 species
UACGUAGGGGGCAAGCGUUGUCCGGAAUCAUUGGGCGUAAAGAGCGUGUAGGCGGCUUGGUAAGUCCGCUGUGAAAGUCCAGGGCUCAACCCUGGAAAGCCGGUGGAAACUGUCAAGCUUGAGUCCGGAAGAGGCGAGUGGAAUUCCUGGUGUAGCGGGUGAAAUGCGCAGAUAUCAGGAGGAACACCAAUGGCGAAGGCAGCUCGCUGGACGGUACUGACGCUGAGACGCGAAGCGUGGGAGCAACAGG